rnacentral:rRNA from 1 species
UACGUAGGGGCCGAGCGUUGUCCGGAUUCAUUGGGCGUAAAGGGUGCGUAGGUGGCAUGGUAAGUCGGGUGUGAAAUCCCGGGGCUCAACCCCGGAACUGCACUCGAUACUACCGUGCUCGAGUACUGGAGAGGAGACUGGAAUUUACGGUGUAGCAGUGAAAUGCGUAGAUAUCGUAAGGAAGACCGGUGGCGAAGGCUAGUCUCUGGACAGUUACUGACACUGAGGCACGAAGGCCAGGGGAGCAAACGGG